UACGGAGGGUGCGAGCGUUGUCCGGAAUCACUGGGCGUAAAGGGCGCGUAGGUGGCGCAACAAGUCAACGGUGAAAGCUCGGCGCUCAACGCCGAGUCGGCCGUCGAUACUGUUGGGCUGGAGCACUGUAGAGGCAGAUGGAAUUCCGGGUGUAGCGGUGGAAUGCGUAGAGAUCCGGAAGAACACCGGUGGCGAAGGCGGUCUGCUGGGCAGUAACUGACGCUGAGGAGCGAAAGCGUGGGGAGCGAACAGG
rnacentral:rRNA from 1 species